rnacentral:rRNA from 1 species
CGUGAGGAACCUGCCUUUCAGAGGGGGACAACAGCUAGGAAACGGCUGACUAAUACCGCAUAACACAUUAGGUGUCGCAUGGCAUUUAUGUCAAAGAUUUAUCGCUGAGAGAUGGCCUCGCGUCUGAUUAGCUAGUUGGUAGGGUAACGGCCUACCAAGGCGACGAUCAGUAGCCGGACUGAGAGGUUGGCCGGCCACAUUGGGACUGAGAUACGGCCCAGACUCCUACGGAAGGCAGCAG